AACGCACAUUGCGCCCAUUAGUAUUCUAGUGGGCAUGCCUGUUCGAGCGUCAUUUCAACCCUUAAGCCCUGUUGCUUAGCGUUGGGAGCCUACAGAUACCCUCUGUAGUUCCUUAAAGUUAGUGGCGGAGUCGGUUUCACACUCUAGACGUAGUAAAUUUUAUCUCGCCUAUAGAUGAGCCGGUCCCUUGCCGUAAAACCCCCUAAUUUCUAAAGGUUGACCUCGGAUCAGGUAGGAAUACCCGCUGAACUUAA
rnacentral:misc_RNA from 1 species